UGUCCUCAUGGAGACACUGGAGGGCCAGUGACAUGCAGUUGGCAUCGUCCUCCAGGCUCAAGGUUUCAGGACAAGAUCCCAAAGCCCACAGAGCUGCUCCUGGCAGGCCGUGACUCUGAUGGCCUCUGCCAGGGCUCACACAGUGGCAUAUGCCCAACUCUGUGGUCAUGGAGUCUCAUAGGACAGUAACACCCGAAGGUGCUCCUUUCCAGAAAAGAAAUCCUAGCAGCACAGCUGGUUUAGAGGAUGUGGCAUUGACAUCGCUUCCAAAAGUCCUAAGCCAUGUUGCGGCAAAGAGAUGGUGGAGACUUACUAUGUCGCCGAGGUGGGUCCUGAUUCCUGGGAUUAAGCAAUUCUCCUGCCUCAGCUUCCAGAGUUCCCGGAACUACAGUUCCAGGGGAUCUGACACCUUCACACAAAUGCACAUAAAAUAAAGUUAAAGAAAACUAACAAAAAAGAAAAAGGAGAAGGAGGCGAAGAGAAGGAAAAGGAGGAAGAAGAGGAAGCAGAGGAAGAAGAAGGAGGAGGAGGAGGAAGAUCGGCUGACCCAGAUCCCAGGAAUGUGACCAUGGCCCCAGUAUCCUUCUUCCCUGGCUGUACUUUCCCAGACUGCUGACUUUGACCCAUCUGUUCGGCCACUGCCCUUCUUGGCACCAAACACUGUUUAUUUUGUUGGACUAUCAGCAGAUCUGUGUUGGACAACUGUCAUUUUUUUUUUUAUGUCACCAUAUGUGACCCUGGAUUCCUGGAUAUGAAUGUGCCUUGGGUUGCCUGUAAACCCCUUUCUUUGUGUGUGAGCUGGAGUUGGGUAGGUGGACGUGAGUGUGUGCUUCUGUGUGUUUGAAGGAUUGGAAGUGUGUGCCAUGCAUUCACGGUCUAUGGGACUGAGUCUGUCUGUGGGGAUCGAAGCUAGUCCCUCCGGCAUAGUGUGAGGUCCCUUGCACCCCAGCUGGGUAAACAAGCACGUGUUUUCCUUCCUAAGGCCCAUCCUCCCCACUGAACGGUGAGUUUGACUGUGUGGGGAUUGCACAGUUGUGAGAGUCUGUGAGUGAAUGUGACCCAAAUGUGCAAAAUUGUGUGUUCCCUGGACACACCCAGCCUCUCAGGGCCAGAUGAGCCUGCUUCUCCCAGGUUCCUAAGCUGGCAUGCCUACUCUUUUAUAGCCAGGCUUGACAACAGCCCUGUGAUGACCUGGGGCCAGAUGCCGUGAUGAAGGUCACCAGACUGGCAUCGGCCCUGGAGGGGGAGCCUAUCUGCCCCCACUGGCCAAGUGAGGGGAGACUAGAGGAAGCUAGACUUUAGAAUCAAGUUGCAGAUGCACAGCACCAGGCUCAGCCUGGCCUUCCCCUGCAGCUCAGGGCCUGAAGGGUCUCUGGCUGACCCAACUCCAGCACAUCCGGGCUCUCCCUUGGGACACAUGACACUUUCCUAGACUUUCUCUCAGGGCUGUGGUUCCCUGUAUUUCCCACCUGUGUUCCCCAUGCCAACCCAUAUUCCUCACCAAGUCCUCUCACCCCAGUCCUUGUCUCUUGGUCCCAGCCAGCGUCCAUCUUAGCCACCACGUAUUUUACCACCUCCUUCAAGUGAGGUUUCCCCUGUUUCCAGCUGCACAACUAGAAAGUGUUAGAGAGAGAAUGAGAAUACAGGUGCUGAGUAGACAUGGGACAGACAGGUGUAUCCUCAGGUCUAUCCCCAAGUCCAGAGCACCUAGACCUGGUACAGGCUGUUGUGGGAUGUUUGUACACCACCGAGGAUGUCUGCUGUGAUUGGUGUAAUAAAAAGGUGAAUGGCCAAUAGCUAGAAGGGAGAGUGUAGGCGGGACUUCUGGGCAGAGAGAGAACUCUGGGAAGAAGAGAGGCAGGUCACCAGCUAGACAUGGAGGAAGCGGGAUGGGCAGCAUGGAGGUGAGGUAAUGAGCCUCAUCAAAGAACAGAGACUUAGGGGGCUGGAGAGAUGGCUUGGAGGUUAAGAGCACUGGCUGCUCUUCUAAAGGUCCUGAGUUCAAUUCCCAGCAACCACAUGGUGGUUCACAACCAUCUGUACUGAGGUCUGGUGCCCUCUCCUGGCCUGCAGGCAUACACACAGACAAAUAUUGUAUAUAAAAUAAAUAAAUAAAUAAAUAGCCUAGUUGAUAGAGCGGAACUCAGGUAGGCGGGGAAGACAGAACAGAAUUCUGGGAAGAAGAGCAGAGUCAGGCAGACGCCAUGGUUCUCCUGCCCGAGACAGACGCUGGUUAGACUCAUGCCAGUAAGACAUAGUCAAGUGGUGAUACACAUUAAUAGAAAUGGAUUAAACUAAUAUGUGAGAGUCAGCCAAUAAGGGGCUGGAGAUAAUGGGCCAAGCAGUAAUUUAAUUAAUACAAUUUCUGUGUGGUUAUUUCAGAUAUAGGCUUAGCCGGGCAGCCGGAACAAGGGGCCCCGCUUCCCACAACAGAGUGGCGCCCAAUGUGGGGCUCGAACCCAUGACCCUGAGAUUAAGAGCCUAAUGCUCUACCGACUUUUGCUAUGUGUAAUUUUACUAUGUUAAAGUUAAAGCCUUCCUUUUUGUUUAAACAGAAAAAGGGGAAAUGGUGUAGGAGGUCCUUCUGUAUUUGUGUUGCUUUCAUUGGUUGAAUAAAGAAACUGCCUUGGCCUUUUGAUAGAGCAGAACUUAGGUAGGCGGGGAAGACAACUGAAUGCUGGGAGAAAGAAGGCAGGCAGAGAGAGCUGCCAUGGAGCCUCCUGGUCAGACAUGCUGAAUCUUUCCCAGUAAGCCACGACCUCGUGGUGAGUACACCUUAAUAGAAAUGGGUUAGAUCAAGAUGUGAGAGUUAGCCAAUAGGAGGCUAGAGCUAAUGGCCAGGCAGUGCUUAAUUAAUACAAUUUUUGUGUGAUUAUUUCAGGUGUAAGGUAGCCAGGCAGCAGAACACAGCCCGCCACUCCUCCUACUACAAUGAUAGAUAGAUGAUAGAUAGGUAGAUAGAUAGAUAGAUAGAUAGAUAGAUAGAUAGAUGAUAGAUAGAUAGAUGAUAGAUAGAUGAUAGAUAGGUGAUAGGUAGAUAGAUAGAUGAUAGGUAGAUAGGUGAUAGGUAGAUAGAUGAUAGAUAGAUAGAUGAUAGAUAGAUGAUAGGUAGAUAGAUGAUAGGUAGAUAAUAGGUAGAUAGGUAGAUAGAUAGAUGAUAGAUGACAGAUAGUAGAUAGAUAGAUAGAUAGAUAGAUAGAUAGAAAAUAGGUAGAUAGAUAGAUAGAUAGAUAGAUGAUAGAUGACAGAUAGAUAGAUGAUAGAUGAUCGAUAGAUAGAUAGAUGGAUAGAUAGAUAGAUAGAUAGAUAGAUAGAUGGAUAGAUAGAUAGAUAGAUAGAUAGAUAGAUAGAUAGAGCUCAAUGGCUAUAGAGAUGGCCCAUUGACUAAGAGCACUUUCUAAUCUUGCAGAGGACCUGGAUUUGGUUCUGAGCAUCCACACAGUGGUUCACAACUGUCUGAAAGUCCAGUUCCACGUAAUCUGUCAUCCUCUUUGAACUUCUACAGGUACCAGACGUGCACAUACACACACUUACACACACACACAUUCAGGCAGAACACUCAUAAAAUUACAAAUAAAUAAAUUAAAUAAAUAAAUAAAUUUACAAACUUGGGUAAGAGCCUGGUAGUGGCACAGUCCAGUACUCAGGAGGCAGAGGAGGCAAGUGGAUCUCUGUGAGUUUGAGGCCAGUCUUAUCUACAUAGCAAGCUCUAGGACAGCUAGGACUACAUUGAGAGACCUCGUCUCAAAACAAACAACAACAAAACAAGCAGAAGGAGGAGGAAGAAGAGGAGAAGAUGAAGAAGGAGGAAGAAGAGGAGGAGGAGGAGAAGUUGAAGAAAGCCCUUAAAAACACAACUUUCUGAAGCUCUACACAUACCGUGGUUAACCCCUCAAAGUUCAGUCUAAAUGUUGCGCCACCUGGUGGAUAUUAAGCAGAACUUCAGGCUCUGAGUGGGCACCCAGCCACAAAUAGCUCAGCUCCCAAGCCUGUGUUGCAAAUAGCCCUGGUUCUCUCCCUGCCCGGAGCACAGCUGACUCACCCCAGUCUCUCACACAGGAGAGGACAUAGCUACUCUGAAACCAGCCUCGCAGUCUAUGACCAGCUGCGUGUUUGUUGUGGCUGUUCCCUGUUGCCCACUCAAGACGUCAAUGGAUGGGUGUAAAACGCUGUAUCGGAGAGACUGGCUGGGGACCCUUGGUGUCCUUUUUGAGAUGAAGCCAAAGAAGACGGAAAACUCCUCUAUGGGUGCUGCCCAUUUGAGGCAUGCCUCCCCAUCUGCAGACUUGAAUGCCUUGCCUUAGAGCUCUGUACAUGGGGGGGGGGGGCGCAAAAUCAGCCAUAGCUCAGGCCCUGGGACGACACCGGGAAGGCCCUGGUUGGUGUUCAUCUAAGUGCUGAGCCCUUCCUCAGUCCUGUGACUGGUCCUGCAGAAACAAAAGUUCUCUGUGCUGGUUACGUUUAACUUGCCUCUACCUAGGCUCACCUGGGCAGAGCGUUUGCAUUAGGUAUUAACUCCAUCAAGAUAGCCUGGGGGAUUGUGUGGGGGUUGUCUUGAUUGUUAACUGAUAGGGAAGACUCAGCUCUUUGUGGGGGCGAUUCCAAGGCAGGGGCUCCUGAACAGGAGGAAAAAGCUAACCAAGAGCAGUACACAGGCUUGACAUGGUGGCGCACGCCAUUAAUCUCAGCCCUCAGGAGACAGAGGCAGAUGGGACUCUGUGAGUUCGAGGCCAGCUACAUAAUGAGACUUUGUCUCAAAACCUUCAAAAUAAAUAAAGCAAGAGUAAUGGGAUUUUAUUUCUCUUCUUUCCUUCCUUACUUUUUUCCCCCUCCUUCUUUGAAACAGUCUUAGUAAGUAGUCCUGGUUGUUCUGAAACUCAGGCUGUAGACCAGGCUGGCCUUGAACUCUCAGAACUCCACACGUCUCUGCCUCCCGAGUGCUGGGUUUAAAUGUGUUC